rnacentral:rRNA from 1 species
UGGGGAAUCUUCCGCAAUGGACGAAAGUCUGACGGAGCAACGCCGCGUGAACGAUGAAGGUCUUCGGAUUGUAAAGUUCUGUGAUCCGGGACGAAGGCAUUGAUUGAGAAUAUUGAUUGAUGUUGACGGUACCGGAAAAGCAAGCCACGGCUAACUACGUGCCAGCAGCCGCGGUAAUACGUAGGUGGCAAGCGUUGUCCGGAAUUAUUGGGCGUAAAGCGCGCGCAGGCGGCCGUGCAAGUCCAUCUUAAAAGCGUGGGGCUUAACCCCAUGAGGGGAUGGAAACUGCAGGGCUGGAGUGUCGGAGGGGAAAGUGGAAUUCCUAGUGUAGCGGUGAAAUGCGUAGAGAUUAGGAAGAACACCGGUGGCGAAGGCGACUUUCUAGACGACAACUGACGCUGAGGCGCGAAAGCGUGGGGAGCAAACAGG